AUCUUUUUAGCUUAAAUAAAGCACUUUACUGAAGAUAAAGAGAACUAUUCAUCUUCAUCAUGAAAUAAGAUA
rnacentral:tRNA from 1 species